rnacentral:rRNA from 1 species
UUCUCCUGGAAAACGGGUGGUAAUGCCGGAUGCUCCAGUUGAUCGCAUGGUCUUCUGGGAAAGCUUUCGCGGUAUGGGAUGGGGUCGCGUCCUAUCAGCUUGACGGCGGGGUAACGGCCCACCGUGGCUUCGACGGGUAGCCGGCCUGAGAGGGCGACCGGCCACAUUGGGACUGAGAUACGGCCCAGACUCCUACGGGAGGCAGCAGUGGGGAAUAUUGCACAAUGGGCGCAAGCCUGAUGCAGCGACGCCGCGUGAGGGAUGGAGGCCUUCGGGUUGUAAACCUCUUUUAUCGGGGAGCAAGCGAGAGUGAGUUUACCCGUUGAAUAAGCACCGGCUAACUACGUGCCAGCAGCCGCGGUAAUACGUAGGGUGCAAGCGUUAUCCGGAAUUAUUGGGCGUAAAGGGCUCGUAGGCGGUUCGUCGCGUCCGGUGUGAAAGUCCAUCGCUUAACGGUGGAUCCGCGCCGGGUACGGGCGGGCUUGAGUGCGGUAGGGGAGACUGGAAUUCCCGGUGUAACGGUGGAAUGUGUAGAUAUCGGGAAGAACACCA